UACGGAAUGUGCAAACGUUAUUCGGAAUCAUCUUGGGCGUUAAAGAGUCCGUGAGGCGGCUUGUUAGGUUGAGGUGAUGAAAUUCCCGUCGGCCCCAAACCGAGGAAUUGCGCUUCAAACCGGCAAGCUAGAGGAGGAUAGAGGUGGGCGGAACUGAUGGAUGGAGCGGUGAAAUGCGUUGAUAUCAUCAGGAACACCGG
rnacentral:rRNA from 1 species